GUCCCCGUAGCGAAGUGGUCAGCGCUUGUGUGCUUUCUUCAGCGUUUGAAUUUCCCCAGCGAGUUUGAUUUGAGGCAGCGAAAGAUGUCGGUUCGAAUCCGACCGGGGACA